AUACGGGGGAUUCAAGCGUUAUCCGGAUUUAUUGGGUUUAAAGGGUGCGCAGGCGGGAUGUUAAGUCGGCGGUGAAAUUUUGCAGCUCAACUGUAAAAGUGCCUUCGAUUCUGGCUUUCUUGGGUGUGGAUGAAGUAGGCGGAAUUUGUGGUCUAGCGGUGAAAUGCUUAGAUAUCACGAGGAACUCCGAUUGCGCAGGCAGCUUACUAAACCACUACUGACGCUCAUGCACGAAAGCGUGGGGAUCAAACAGGAUUAGAUACCCUGGUAGUCCACGCAGUAAACGAUGAUUACUAGUUGUUUGCGAUACAAUGUAAGCGACUGAGCGAAAGCGUUAAGUAAUCCACCUGGGGAGUACGUUCGCAAGAAUGAAACUCAAAUGAAUUGACGGGG
rnacentral:rRNA from 1 species